rnacentral:rRNA from 1 species
AUUGAACGCUGGCGGCAGGCCUAACACAUGCAAGUCGAGCGGAUGAAGGGAGCUUGCGCCUGGAUUCAGCGGCGGACGGGUGAGUAAUGCCUAGGAAUCUGCCUGGUAGUGGGGGAUAACGUCAGGAAACGGGCGCUAAUACCGCAUACGUCCUGAGGGAGAAAGUGGGGGAUCUUCGGACCUCACGCUAUCAGAUGAGCCUAGGUCGGAUUAGCUAGUUGGUGGGGUAGAGGCCUACCAAGGCGACGAUCCGUAACUGGUCUGAGAGGAUGAUCAGUCACACUGGAACUGAGACACGGUCCAGACUCCUACGGGAGGCAGCAGUGGGGAAUAUUGGACAAUGGGCGAAAGCCUGAUCCAGCCAUGCCGCGUGUGUGAAGAAGGUCUUCGGAUUGUAAAGCACUUUAAGUUGGGAGGAAGGGCAGUAAGUUAAUACCUUGCUGUUUUGACGUUACCAACAGAAUAAGCACCGGCUAACUUCGUG